GUUUACAAGAUACUCUCAUCACAGCAUGACAGCGCUCUUUAGUUUGCCCUUAGAUGGCAGAGGCAAUGUUUCCCCAUCCCCUGGGAAAACAUCCAGAUUCCCUGCAGGCUCAGUUUUAAGAGAUCCCCAGCCUGUCGAGCCUCCCUGCCAACUCACAUUGCAAAGUCCACCCUGCUCAGAGAAACCUCACCUAUGAUUCACAAAGACAGAACAGCUAUGUUACAAUCUCGACAGGACAGCUGUUUCAGGAUGUCAAGAUAGAAUACCAUCAACUGAACAGCCACAGAAGAAAUAUGUUCAAGAAAUUGCAAGUUAUGCGCCAGAACCCAGGGCCACUGCAUCGGCCUCUGGGGAUGCCAUGCUUCAGAGGCAGAAGACAUUGUGUUCUCCAUGUCAGUUCCCAGCCCUGCUGCGGAUGUGUUAGGGCGAGGUGUGUGGCUGAAGGUUGGGUCAUCACCAGGGAAAGGCUGGCUGGUGACCACCUGGCACUCCCACUGGAUGGCAUCACUUCGAUGGAAGACCAUAUGCAAAAUAAACUCUAAGGAAUUUUUUUAUUGGCCAUCUGCUAAAAUUGGAAAGAAAGGCUGUAUCCGCCUCGACUCUUCACAAAAAUUUUCACUAAGAAUCCCGCUUGCUUCCACGUGGUGCCACCUGCUGAUCAUAUUUGAAUACCUGUUUUGCAAAUGAAGAGCAGGGUAAUGUGGAUCUCCCUCUUUCUUUAAUGAAAUAAACUUAAUCCUAAUUAAUGUGAGAAAUAACCUGCAAAGUGUCAGGCUUUCAGUUGUUUUACCAAAACUCACACUUCCUCCUGUUGUAGCCAGGAAUCACAGAGCAAAGCCCUCGCAUGCACACACCUCUGAGACCUCACUUCUGAGACACUGUCAGACAUUUUUUUGCCCUCAGGAUUGAGUACACUACCUCUAAUAAAGCCCUGUGUUUGGCUUUCACCUGUCAAAAAUGUCAAUGUACUAAAUUCUUUAGUAUAUCAAUUCCACUUUGAGAUAUCUAUCCAAAGGAGAGCUGGCACGGGCGUAUAAAGGCAUGUGAGGAUAUUCCACAUCAUUUGUUCAACCAAAAAAUAAGGGAAUGCCUAAAUGUCCAUCAACAGGGUGAUGAUUUUUAAAGUCAUAAUGCAUUCAUACAAUGAAAUACUACGGUGCAGCACUGACAUGGCACGAUGUCCUAGACACAUUCAAUGGGAGAAAAUGAAGGCUAAAGAAUGGGUAGUAUAAUCCCAUGUUUUUAAAGAAAAACAGUUCUGUGUGUCAUAGCUCUAUUUGUUUAUACACAGGAAAAGGUUGAAAGGAUACACACUAAACAAAAGCAAUUUCUGAGGAGUGGGGAUUUUUUCCCACUUUUUACUUUACACAUGCCUAUAUUAUUUGAAUUUUGACUAUCAAUGCAUUGUAGUAAAACAAAGGAGCUACUAAAAUUAUAAUGCCACAUUCUUUAAAAAUCAGAUUUGCAGCCAAUAAAGCAUUUCAUCAUCACAUGAGAUGAAAUGUGAUGCUUUGCUUCAGAAGCAGGAGACACUGUAUUCAUUGCAUUUCAUCGUCACAUACUCACUGGAUGCUCACUUGCUCUAAGGCUAGGAUCACUUUCACAUUUAAGAGAUGAAGAAAUGGGACUGAGAGGAGAAGGAACCGAGAUCCUGUAGGGAACAGAUGACAGUGCCGGGGCGCUCCAGCAAACGACUACUGAGGGGUUUUUAGAGUCUUAUUCCGCAUGUGCCAGGCCCUAAACCAGCAGUUUUUAAACUGAUUCCACUAUGUGGACAAAGAAAUCCUCCUUUACAUUAGAGAACUACACAGUCCUGAAGACUUUCAGCAUCAAUCAAAUGGGCUAUGAAACUUCAGGGCCUAGCACAUUAAAGCAGGAAGACCAGAGCAGUCACCUAACUCAGGCUUCCAGUUUUAAUGAUGGGAAAAGAGUCUCCCUGAGGCAGACUAGAGCAACAAACACUUGCCAUCUCCAAGGAGUUAACUUUCCUUCUUCUCCGCUAAACCCGCUCCUCCUCUUGGGUUUCCCAUCCUGGCAAAUGGUAACCCGGCAGACUCCUGAAAGCACUAAGUCUGCCUUCUUCCUCAUUCUCAAUUCUAUCUGUCUCCAAAUCCUAUUGAUGCCACCUUCCAAAUAUUCCUCACCUCUGGUCCUUCUCUGUGUAAGAUUCUGCCUGGGUGUCUCCAUACAACCUUCAGCAUCUCUUCUGCCUAGAUGAACAGAACAGCCUUUCUAAUAGGUCUCAUUCCUCUUCCCUCCCAAUCUACACUAUCCUCUCCAACAGAACACCUUUCUAAUACCAAAACCUCAUAAUAUACCUCCCCGCACUCUACUUAAAACACCUGCAUGG